CAGUAGCCGCGGUAAUGCGUAGGGUGCGAGCGUUAAUCGGAAUUACUGGGCGUAAAGCGUGCGCAGGCGGUUGUGUAAGACAGAUGUGAAAUCCCCGGGCUCAACCUGGGAACUGCAUUUGUGACUGCAAGGCUAGAGUGCGGCAGAGGGAGAUGGAAUUCCGCGUGUAGCAGUGAAAUGCGUAGAUAUGCGGAGGAACACCGAUGGCGAAGGCAAUCUCCUGGGCCUGCACUGACGCUCAUGCACGAAAGCGUGGGGAGCAAACAGGAUUAGAUACCCCGGUAGUCCCUGUCUCUUAUAC
rnacentral:rRNA from 1 species